AUUGAACGCUGGCGGCAGGCCUAACACAUGCAAGUCGAACGAGUGGCGGACGGGUGCGUAAUGUCUGGGAAACUGCCUGAUGGAGGGGGAUAACUACUGGAAACGGUAGCUAAUACCGCAUACCAUCAAAUGUACCCAGAUGGGAUUAGCUAGUUGGUGGGGUAAAGGCUCACCAAGGCGACGAUCCCUAGCUGGUCUGCGAGGAUGACCAGCCACACUGGAACUGAGACACGGUCCAGAGUCCUACGGGAGGCCGCAGUGGGGAAGAUUGCACAAUGGGCGCAAGCCUGAUGCAGCCAUGCCGCGUGUAUGAAGAAGGCCUUCGGGUUGGAAAGUACUUUCAGCGGGGAGGCGUUACCCGCAGAAGAAGCACCGGCUAACUCCGUGCCAGCAGCCGCGGUAAUUC
rnacentral:rRNA from 1 species